AGCGAACGCUGGCGGCAGGCUUAACACAUGCAAGUCGAGCGGGCAUCCUUGUGGUGUCAGCGGCAGACGGGUGAGUAACGCGUGGGAACGUGCCCUUCGGUUCGGAAUAACUCAGGGAAACUUGAGCUAAUACCGGAUACGUGCGAGAGCAGAAAGGUUUAUCUGCCGAAGGAUCGGCCCGCGUCUGAUUAGCUAGUUGGUGAGGUUAUGGCUCACCAAGGCGACGAUCAGUAGCUGGUCUGAGAGGAUGAUCAGCCUCACUGGGACUGAGACACGGCCCAGACUCCUACGGGAGGCAGCAGUGGGGAAUAUUGGACAAUGGGGGCAACCCUGAUCCAGCCAUGCCGCGUGAGUGAUGACGGCCUUAGGGUUGUAAAGCUCUUUUCUCCGGGACGAUAAUGACGGUACCGGAGGAAUAAGCCCCGGCUAACUUCGUG
rnacentral:rRNA from 1 species